UACCACAUCCAAGGAAGGCAGCAGGCACGCAAAUUACCCAAUCCCAGCUCGGGGAGGUAGUGACGAAAAAUAACAAUGCGGGACUCUUGCGAGUCUGCGUAAUUGGAAUGAGCACACUUUAAAUCCUUUAGCAACAACCAAUUGGAGGGCAAGUCUGGUGCCAGCAGCCGCGGUAAUUCCAGCUCCAAUAGCGUAUAUUAAAGUUGUUGCGGUUAAAAAGCUCGUAGUUCGAGUUCAGUUCCGGACUGGGGUGGGAGGUCACCGCCCGGUGCUUCCCCGUCAGGCUCCGAACAGCUUCCCUGUGUGGAAGCCAAGCCGGUUCUGCCGGGGUGCUCUUUACCGAGUGUCCCGCGCGGCCGGCCAGUUCACCUUGAAUAAAUGAGAGUGCUCAAAGCAGGCUAUUCUCUAGUACAAUGCCCGAAUGUUCUUUGCAUGGAAUGAUGGAAGAUGAUCUCGGUUCCAUUUUCUUGGUGGUGGGAGCCCGAGGUAAUGAUAAACAGGGACUGUCGGGGGCAUCCGUACUACGACGCGAGAGGUGAAAU
rnacentral:rRNA from 1 species